NNNCCAACAGGGAUUGCCUUAGUAACGGCGAGUGAAGCGGCAAAAGCUCAAAUUUGAAAUCUAGCACUUUCAGUGUUCGAGUUGUAAUUUGAAGAAGGUAACUUUGGAGUUGGCUCUUGUCUAUGUUCCUUGGAACAGGACGUCACAGAGGGUGAGAAUCCCGUGCGAUGAGAUGUCCAACUCUAUGUAAAGUGCUUUCGAAGAGUCGAGUUGUUUGGGAAUGCAGCUCUAAGUGGGUGGUAAAUUCCAUCUAAAGCUAAAUAUUGGCGAGAGACCGAUAGCGAACAAGUACAGUGAUGGAAAGAUGAAAAGAACUUUGAAAAGAGAGUGAAAAAGUACGUGAAAUUGUUGAAAGGGAAGGGCUUGAGAUCAGACUUGGUAUUUUGCGUUCCCUUCCUUUUUGGUUGGGUUCCUCGCAGUUUACUGGGCCAGCAUCGGUUUGGAUGGUAGGAUAAUGACAUUGGAAUGUAGCUUUACUUCGGUGAAGUGUUAUAGACUUUGUUGAUACUGCCUAUCUAGACCGAGGACUGCGUCUUUGACUAGGAUGCUGGCGUAAUGAUCUUAAGCCGC
rnacentral:rRNA from 1 species